rnacentral:lncRNA from 1 species
GCAUAUUACUCAACAGUCACCCUUCUUCUACAUAUUCUUAAUACAUUUUCCCUUUGUUUCAUUUUUCUUUCUGUUUUUUUUUAUUUUUUCAACUUCUGCAAAGCAAAGAUUACUUGGAGCCAUGUUCAUCUCCAGAGCAAGUGCCAGGCAUGUCUCUCUAUCUCUAUCUAACAAGCACACAUUUCUGUCAUUAUAGAAUAUUAAAUUUUCUUGUAUAGUAAUAAAAUAUGAAUUUAGUAACUUUUUACAGCUUAUCUUCUUUUGUGAGCUACUGCUCUUCUUCAAGCAACCCAAAUCUGAUGCUUGAUUCCACAUAGAAACUAAAGGGUUGACAGAGAUACAGUUUAGGACUUUAAUUUUGACGAAUGACUUAUAGUUGAGUAUUAUACUUAAAAAUAUGAUAAUACUAGCACCUUUAAAUUUGCUGACAACUUGAGUUAGCUAUUAAUGUUUGGUUCUGUCUUGAAAUCAUUUUUUCUAAGAACUAAGAGGUGUGAUAUAAAUGUACCCAUGCAUGUAGGGUAUGAUGAACCAGGUGGUUGACAAAAAAAAUCGAUCAGAACCGAAAUCGGUCAACACUGAACUAAGAAAAUACUUAAUAAUUCGAUGGUUUCAGUUUUAGUUUUGAGUCUUAAUUUCAAGUUUGGUUUGACAUAUCGGUUAACACAAAAAUUAACUGAGAUCAAAUCAUUUUUAAUGGUUAAUUAAUAAAAAUAAUCCAAUCUUAGAUUUCAAAAAUGACAGAAUUGAUAAUUAUAAAAUGGCAUAACUGUUCGAUUAACUAAAUAGUAACUAUUUAUAGUAUAAAUCAGCACUUAAUAUAUUGUUGAUUUAUGAUGUAAAAAUAUUGGUAAUUGAUUCGGUGUGACAUGACACCAUUAUCACGUAUAUUUCAAGCUAUUAGAUUUGUUAGAUUUGAUUACAAUCGUUGGAUAUAAAUUUAUUAAAAAAAAUAAUAGAUUAUUUUUUUAACGAUUAUAUACAAUAAAAGUACAAAAUAUAAUAAUAUUUAUUUUUUAUUCCAUUGAUUAUAUAAAUUUGAAAUAAAAUUAAUAAUUUUACUUUUAUUGAAACUCCGAUAUUACACGACACCAAAUAGUAAUUCAGAAAUAUUGGUAAUUUCGUAGGAGGUUAGUUUUUUAAAUGAAGUUUGGAUAGUGUGGAUGCUUAAUUUACCUUGGCUUCUCUAUCUACUUUUAACACGUAUCUAGAUCCAGCAAUAAACUAGAAUACUUGAACUUUUAACCCUCGGUUUCCCGUUUAGAAUCGGGGUAGAAAAAAAACACUUUUCAGUUUUGCUUUUAGAGAAAAAUUGGUAAAUUUAUGCUUGUUCUUCAGGAACAUAAUAAAAUUAGUUUAUAAAAAAAUUAAAUAAUUAAAUAAAAGAAAUUCUAACCCUACUAUUGAUCGAUUACAAUAGUCCUAUAAAAGACUGGAGGUCAGAGUGUAAACAACGAUAAUUUUUCGAUAUGCAUACCAAAGAGAAAUUUCAUAUGAAAGUAAAACUUUAAUAUUUAAAUUAUUUUUCCUUCUGUAGCUAUUUCCCACAAAGUCACCUUGAAAUCCUCUUUUAUUUCAAGUUGCAAACCAUAGAAGAGACAACGAAUUGUAUGAUAUUCUCAAAAUACAUUUGAGUGUCUUUUGUAAUUGUAUGGUAUUUCUAAUAUACAUUUCUCUGCAUCUUUCCCCUUCUGAUUCUUAAGUCACAAGCCAUUCACUGUACUUUUCUCAGCUUUCAUGGGAAACACACCAAAUUGUUACGUCAUGGUUGCUACUGAGAAACCAAAGGACUUCAGAAAUGCCUUGAUAGUACUUUUAGAUCUUUGCCACCUCAAUAAAUA